AGCAAACAGCUUGUUUGUGAUAACAGGCCCUGCCUGCCGGCCGAUGUCUGAGCCUAAUGCUCUCACGUCGGCGGGCGCCGGGAGCCGACGUCCCCGCUUUGUCAACCGUCCCACAGAUGCGGUGCCUCGUCUCAAGAUAACAAUGACAGCGACCAUAAUACCUUUAAUAGAGGAUUUGCAGGCAACCUUGCAAUAACUCCACUCUCCCCCAGGGGUCUGGAAGACAACAGGUUGGCGAUGACUUAUCUAAAAAAUGGAUGGACAGCAAAUACUUCAGGCAAUGCUCCAUAAAUAUUGUUUCUCUCUGCAGAGCUUGCGAAAGAAAGAGAGUGUGUGUGAGUGGGGCAGAGGGAAGGUAGAGACCUCAAGCCAACUCCAAGCCCAGAGCAGAGCCCGAUGCACGACUCGAAUCUCAGGACCCAGAGAUUAUGACCUGAGCCAAAAUCAAGAGCCAGACGCUCAACCGACGGAGCCACGCAGGAUAACUGCUCCCCUGAGUCUGACACACCGACUUCGUGCUUCAAAAAAGGGAGAUUAAGCAAAGAAAGGCCAAGACGUUAGUCACACACACAUGCCCAUAGAAACCUCAAUAAACUGGACGUGAGUGAGAAAGUUGAAACGAUGUCUGUAUAUCCAUACCUAUGGAUAUUUCAAAAUCGGAGCUUCUGGAUCUCAGGAACACAAUAGCACAGCAACAUUUUUAUGGCAAAGCAGCCUGAAUUCCUGUGAUAAAUAAUUCUCAGUCCCACACAGCAGGAGUCUUUAAGAAUCUCUGCUUUAAUAACAGGAGAGUUUAAUUACAAAGCCAAUGAGUUAUGAUCGACGCUCCCAGCCUCCUCCACCCCAGCUCCCAACACCCGAUACCGCAGCUGCAUACACAAAUUGUGAGACCCACAAGAACAAAGCUUUUCAUGUCUUUUGUUUCCAAUGCCUACAACAUGGUCAUAUCCAACAAAUAGAUAUUGAAUCACUCAAUGAACAAAUAAGAAAAUACAUUUUCAUCAGAGGCAUGAGGAGCCCUAAGUGUCAUGACAAGUCGAGACUUGAUCCUGAGGGCAAGACCAAAUGAUGAAAAAGAUGGGAUUAAAAAACCCUCAAUAGGGGAAACGAUUCCUGACAUUUGACCGGGCAAUGAUUUCUUGGACAAAAAAAAAAAAAAAAAGACAACAAAG